rnacentral:rRNA from 1 species
GACGAACGCUGGCGGCGUGCUUAACACAUGCAAGUCGAACGGUGAAGCGCCUUCCUUUUUGGUGGGUGUGGAUGAGUGGCGAACGGGUGAGUAACACGUGAGUAACCUGCCCCCUUCUUCUGGAUAACCGCAUGAAAGUGUGGCUAAUACGGGAUAUUCUGGGUCUGUCGCAUGAUGGGUCUGGGAAAGAUAUUGUUUCGGUGGGGGAUGGGCUCGCGGCCUAUCAGCUUGUUGGUGGGGUGAUGGCCUACCAAGGCGGUGACGGGUAGCCGGCCUGAGAGGGUCGACGGUCACACUGGGACUGAGACACGGCCCAGACUCCUACGGGAGGCAGCAGUGGGGAAUAUUGCACAAUGGGCGCAAGCCUGAUGCAGCGACGCCGCGUGAGGGAUGGAGGCCUUCGGGUUGUGAACCUCUUUCGCCAGUGAAGCAGGCCUGCCUCGUUUGUGGGUGGGUUGACGGUAGCUGGAUAAGAAGCGCCGGCUAACUACGUG